CCGUCCUACGGGGCGCAGCGGUGGGGAAUAUUGCACAAUGGGGGAAACCCUGAUGCAGCGACGCCGCGUGAGUGAAGAAGUAAUUCGUUAUGUAAAGCUCUAUCAGCAGGGAAGAAAAUGACGGUACCUGAGUAAGAAGCCCCGGCUAACUACGUGCCAGCAGCCGCGGUAAUACGUAGGGGGCAAGCGUUAUCCGGGUUUACUGGGUGUAAAGGGAGUGUAGACGGCAGUGCAAGUCUGGAGUGAAAGGCGGGGGCUCCACCCCCGGACUGCUCUGGAA
rnacentral:rRNA from 1 species